rnacentral:rRNA from 1 species
GACGAACCGAGCGAACGUUGUUCGGAAUCACUGGGCUUAAAGGGCGCGUAGGCGGGCUGUCAAGUCUGGGGUGAAAUCCCACGGCUCAACCGUGGAACUGCCUUAGAUACCGACGGCCUCGAGGGAGAUAGGGGCGAGCGGAACUGUGAGUGGAGCGGUGAAAUGCGUUGAUAUUCACAGGAACUCCGGUGGCGAAGGCGGCUCGCUGGAUCUUUUCUGACGCUGAGGCGCGAAAGCUAGGGGAGCAAACGGG